rnacentral:lncRNA from 1 species
CACUUGUUGGGGGGGUUGGUUGGAUGGCCAGGGUUGGGGCUUGGAAGGACGCCGGCCGAGAAUUGACCACGCUGGAGCCUAGGCCCCCAGGGAUGCACACCUGCAGCCUCUGUGGGACCCCCGCUCCUAAAUGCGGAAGCCUGGACGUAGAGAGGGGAACUACCAAGGUCACACAGGAGUUAGUGGCUAAGCGUGGGUAAGAACCCGGUCUCCCGGCCUAGGGCUUCUCUGCUGAGCGUCUCCCAGCGACUGGCGGUUUUGUGUUCUGAAGGCGCCCGCCGGGAAAGCCUCCCUUCUGCAUGUAUUACAGUGAAUUGCCAACUUUUACGGAGGGGGUUUCUUGCUACUGUCUCACUGAAAUUCCCUCCACCCACACCCUGCAGCUUUUAAAGUUCAUCUCAGGUUGAUCUGGGGCCAAGUUCCUAGCCCCGAUGUCCCCCCCUCCCUUCGGCGAGACCACGAGGCUCCAGUGACUUUUUUGACCCAUAGAUGACCCCCUUCCCCCUACCCCUUUGCUUGAGUGGCCUUGGGGCAGAGGGUAAGUGUGGGAGGCCUGAGCUGCCCCUGGGGGACAGAAACAAAGGGAGUACUCAGCUCCAGGCACCUGAGUAGAGGCUGAGGGGGAGGCAGUGGGAGGGGGGUACUGAGGGCUGCUGCCUUCUGCCUUCAAGUGGGUUUUAAGACUAAGGGAGCCCCGGGCCCGGUGAUGGAGGAGGCUGCCCUGGAAAGUCGGAGGUGCCUUUCCAGUCCCCCUCUCCUCCCUCUGAGCUCGCCCGUCUCCCUGCCCCCCACCUCCAACAUUGGGGCCAUUCACGGGGCCCCUCACCAGCUGCCCUCCCUUUUCUCACUUCAGCCAGCUCCCUUCCCUGGAAGGAGCCCAAGAGGAGGACCCAGCUGCAGCUCCAGAUGUGGAAGAAGCUCUCUAGGGGAAGGGAGGAAGGGGAGCCUGGCUCCAGGCCUCUUGCAUCACCCUCAGCUGAUGAAACCACAUCGGAGAUUUUGAAAAGCCUGUGGGUUAGGGGAUGAGCAGUGUCUGGGGUGCCACUCUCCUCUCGUUCCCUCCCCCCACCCACCCCACAGAUGACUGCUCCAUCCGUAGCCCCCAAACCAAAGUAAUUUCAAGAGCAAACCCAUUCCCCACCUCCACCCCAUCCUCUGGCAAACAGGCGGCAGCUGCCAGCAGUUUCCAGGAUGGAGGAGGGGCAGGGGGAUAGGGAAGGUCCUGGGGGGGACCCCACACCUUUCACUAGCAUUUGAAUCUGGAGGACGGGCUCUCUGGGGCCAGCAGUUGCCCCUCCCGGGGCAGGAGGCCAGCAGAGUGUUGAGUCCAUCCAACCAAAGUGAGAGAUGGGCGGAGACUAAUAUGAGAGGAGCUUCUCCAACCAGCAAGGAGCCCGACGUGGAUGUUCUCAUUUCAUGCUCAUGACCUUGUGAGCUAGGCUGUAUUCUUUUUAAUUUUUGCUGAUGGGGAAACUGAGUCUCACCCAGCAUAUAAGCGGCAGAUCCCGGAUUUGAACUUUGCAUCCGGUUCCAGGCUUCCCAGAUCCCUUCCAGUAGCUGUGCAGGGACGGGAGCUGGGCUGGUGGACAGAGCUGGGCUGACACAGGCUUUGACUCCAGGCUUUGUCCUCUUGGAGGCUCGUGCGGUAUUUUGCAAAGCUGCCCUCCUGCCCACAAGACUCUGGGCUUCUCCAGGGCCCAACUCUGGUUUCCUGCCUCCAGGAAGUCCCCUCUGACUUCUGAGAGUAGGUGACCCUUCUGACUCAUAGAUUCACUGCUGGGAAAUGGCGCCAGAAGCGCUGCCCCCACCCCCUCCACAUCCCUCCAGGUCACAGGGGUGUCGAACCAGGAGGAGCUGGGAGGCACGUGUGCUGGAAACUCAAGCCUCCCAGAGGUCAGGGCCUCUGGGCGGCUGCCUCUCGGGCGCUGCUGCUGGAGGCGAGGAAAUCAGACAGGGAUCUGAGUUGGUAGUGAAGAGGCUUAAACUGCAGCCUGGGCAGAUUUAGUUAAGAGAGUCAGCGUGGCGGGGGGGUUGGGGGGGGGCUGGGAGCGGUGGGCGUCUGGGCAGAUGGGAGCCUGAGGAGUUGGGGGGCCCUCUCUGAGUUGGGAAACUCCCACGCUGCUGUGUUGAAAAUACUCCAGCAGCAACUGGGGGCAGCCAUCCAAGAGCCCGGAUCCCUCGUUCUCACAGCAACCCUAUAGUAACAAAUCCGCACACCCAAGAGCUGUCCUUAGGCCCUAGAAAUGAUGCAGAGGUGGUUUCUGAACUUGAAUCCGUCCUGUGGUUCCCCUUUAGAAUUAGCACCAGGCACUGGCAUUGGGGGGAACUCUGAGCGCUGACUUCAACUUCUAGGGAUGGGGAGUUCAGGGUUCCUGGCUUCCAGCCCCAGCCCUGCCUGGCACCUGGGCUCAGAACCCCAGACAGGGGCUAUCGGGGUGCAGACACAGGGGCCUCAGCCCAGCGAGGGCUCAGCCUGACUUCCUCUGCUGCAGGAGACAGACUUAGAGGAAACCAGAAUUUGUUAUAAAUAGCAGAGAAGAGAGAGCCCUGCGGAUUACAACUCCCCCCCAAGGCUUUAGGAAAAAAUAGAGAAAAAGCAACUAUUUUUGGUUUCUAAUGUUAGCAAGGGUUUGAUACACCACAUAUCCUCAAGCACGGGAUCGCUGUCCAUCUUCCUGCUCUGCAGCGCUUUCUCAGAAUGCAGGCUUAGGGCCACCGAGGAUGUGGGUGCAGGCAAGUCGCCACAUCCCAGAAACCUGGAGCCCAAGAGUCUCUGGUUCAACCGCGUCAUUUUCAGGUGCAGAAAUGAGGCCCAGAGAGGAGACAAGACGUGUCCAGAGUCUCACAGUGACUGCUGAGCUGGCCCUAGGCGUCCCCGAGGGGGCAGUUCCCACCACAGCAUGGUAGGACCUCAAGGCUGAACACGAGACGGGGCCACAUGUGAGUUUACGGUUUGCAUGAACCCGAGUCACAGAAGACGGAGCUGGAGGGUGGCGUCUCCGGGUCAGAGAUCUGGGCUCGUUCCAGCUCUGCUACUUGGAGCUGUGGGACCUGGGGCAAGUUAUGUAACUGCCCCUGGCGACGUUCCCCUCAAAAUGAGGACUGCCACACCCGCUCAUCACAGGGCUAUUAUGAGGUCAAAAUGGGGUGACCUGGGUUGGGCCACCAGCUCAAGGCUCCUCUCACAGGAUGGAGAUGAAUUUCCUUCGUUUCCCCCAGACGCUCCAUCCCGUCUGUGCGCCCCUGCCCUCUGACAGCACAGAGGGCGAAUCUGUCACAAGACAUCCUUUGAGGGACAGGAAGUGAGGACACGGGGUGAAGUCUGCCUGCCCGAGGGGUCAGCGCCGAUCUGGGAGGGGACAGCGUCCAGGCUCUGCUGGCCUCUCCAUGGAGGGGCCCUUGGAGGCGGGAGGGUCAGAUCACGGAUGGGGGCCACCUGGGAGGCAUCUGAGUUUUAUUUUACUCACCCCGGUGCUCCCCUGUGUCAAGGGUUUCCUCUUUGAAUCCUCACAACAAUUGGGAUCAAAUACUGUUUGCCCUCAUUUUGCAGAAGAGGAAAUGGGCUCAGAGGUCACUUGGCUGGCGUCGCGGUCAUUUUGCUUUCCACCAAAUAUUUCCGGCCCUCCGCCUUGUGGCACAAGGCGGGCUGGCGUGGCCUCCCUGUCAUGUCAGGGGUGGCCUGUGAUAUCCUUAGCCCAAUGUGGGCAGGACCGGUACCACAUCUCCAUGGAAGCUCCGCACCCUGGCACCUUACGCCAGGUUCAUGUUGUUUCUGGAGCGUAUGUGAGAAAUGAACUUAUUGUUCGAAGCCUCUGAAAUCAUGAGCUGUGGGCUGCCUUGGCAGAGCCAGCCCGCCCUGCCCUGACUGAUGUUCAUCCUGAGUAGAGCUCGGAGCCAGAAUUCCGGUCUGUGCAGGUGCCAAGGGGCUCAGAGCCUUCCAGGAUGCUGCCUGCUUACCUCAGACGCAUGGAGGGCGCUGGGGCUCCUGGGCAACUCAGACCCUUGCAGGCAGGCGGAGGGGACAGCGACCUCUCUGCCUCCACCUGGCCCCAUCCCCAUAAUGCUCGCAGAUUGCUGGGCCCUAGGGACUUAGAAACGAGCACAGUUUCAUGUCCACCUUCGGCCAGCUGGGCUGUGCCUUGGGGGACCCUCAGAAUCCACUCUGAGAAGCAAUUAGAAAAGUCUGGGAGUUCCCAUUGUGGCUCAAUGAUUGACGAAUCCGACUGGGAACCAUGAGGUCGCGGGUUCGAUCCCUGGCCUUGCUCAGUGGGUUAAGGAUCCGGCGUUGCUGUGAGCUGUGGUGGAGGCUGCAGAUGUGGCUUGGAUCCCGCAUCACUGUGGCUCUGGCAUAGGCUGGCAGCUAUGGCUCCCGUUCGACCCCUAGCCUGGGAACCUCCAUAUGCCUCGGGAGCAGCCCAAGAAAUG